rnacentral:rRNA from 1 species
UACGUAGGGUGCGAGCGUUAAUCGGAAUUACUGGGCGUAAAGUGUGCGCAGGCGGCCGCGCAAGUCGAGUGUGAAAUCCCCGAGCUUAACUUGGAAUUGCGCUCGAAACUACGUGGCUGGAGUGUGGCAGAGGAAGGUGGAAUUCCACGUGUAGCGGUGAAAUGCGUAGAGAUGUGGAGGAACACCGAUGGCGAAGGCAGAUCUCUGGGCCGUUACUGACGCUGAGGAGCGAAAGCGUGGGGAGCGAACAGG